AGCGAACGGUUUCGAUGAAGUUUUCGGAUGGAUUUGAAAUCGACUUAGCGGCGGACGGGUGAGUAACGCGUGGGUAACCUGCCUUACACUGGGGGAUAACAGUUAGAAAUGACUGCUAAUACCGCAUAAGCGCACAGGGCCGCAUGGUCUGGUGUGAAAAACUCCGGUGGUGUAAGAUGGACCCGCGUCUGAUUAGGUAGUUGGUGGGGUAACGGCCCACCAAGCCGACGAUCAGUAGCCGACCUGAGAGGGUGACCGGCCACAUUGGGACUGAGACACGGCCCAAACUCCUACGGGAGGCAGCAGUGGGGAAUAUUGGACAAUGGGCGAAAGCCUGAUCCAGCGACGCCGCGUGAGUGAAGAAGUAUUUCGGUAUGUAAAGCUCUAUCAGCAGGGAAGAAAAUGACGGUACCUGACUAAGAAGCCCCGGCUAACUACGUGCCAGCAGCCGCGGUAAUACGUAGGGGGCAAGCGUUAUCCGGAUUUACUGGGUGUAAAGGGAGCGUAGACGGUUAAGCAAGUCUGAAGUGAAAGCCCGGGGCUCAACCCCGGUACUGCUUUGGAAACUGUUUGGCUUGAGUGCAGGAGAGGUAAGUGGAAUUCCUAGUGUAGCGGUGAAAUGCGUAGAUAUUAGGAGGAACACCAGUGGCGAAGGCGGCUUACUGGACUG
rnacentral:rRNA from 1 species